rnacentral:rRNA from 1 species
UACGGAGGGUGCAAGCGUUAUCCGGAAUCACUGGGUUUAAAGGGUGCGUAGGCGGCUUAGUAAGUCAGUGGUGAAAGGCUGUGGCUUAACCAUGGAAUUGCCAUUGAUACUGCUGAGCUUGAAUGAGGUUGAGGUUGGCGGAAUGUGACAUGUAGCGGUGAAAUGCUUAGAUAUGUCAUGGAACACCGAUUGCGAAGGCAGCUGACUGGACCUAUAUUGACGCUGAGGCACGAAAGCGUGGGGAGCGAACAGG